GAUGAACGCUGGCGGCGUGCCUAAUACAUGCAAGUCGAGCGAACGGACGAGAAGCUUGCUUCUCUGAUGUUAGCGGCGGACGGGUGAGUAACACGUGGAUAACCUACCUAUAAGACUGGGAUAACUUCGGGAAACCGGAGCUAAUACCGGAUAAUAUUUUGCACCGCAUGGUUCAAAAGUGAAAGACGGUCUUGCUGUCACUUAUAGAUGGAUCCGCGCUGCAUUAGCUAGUUGGUAAGGUAACGGCUUACCAAGGCAACGAUGCAUAGCCGACCUGAGAGGGUGAUCGACCACACUGGAACUGAGACACGGUCCAGACUCCUACGGGAGGAAGCAGUAGGGAAUCUUCCGCGAUGGGCGAGAGCCGGACGGAGCAACGCCGCGGGAGUGAUGAAGGUCUUCGGAUCGUAAAACUCUGUUAUUAGGGAAGAACAUAUGUGUAAGUAACUGUGCACAUCUUGACGGUACCUAAUCAGAAAGCCACGGCUAACUACGUG
rnacentral:rRNA from 1 species